UUUCCUCUACCUCGCUGAGACGAGGAUAGAUCCAAAGGUAGAUACGAAGAAGGUUAACAAAGGAUCUCCAACCCCUACACCAACUAAAUAUGUCCCCGUAGUACAGCACGGUAACAUGUGG
rnacentral:ribozyme from 1 species